UGUUCUACAUCCAGUCAUCCAUUGAUGGACACUUAGUUGAUUGCAUAUCUGUCUGAAGUGUGAAGGCAGGAGAACACUCCUAACAGAGUUAAGAGCAGAGCUCUUACCACAGUAGGCACAGUGUUAAACUCAACAUUUAUCAUCACAUUGCAUAUUCACAAGUGUUGAAGAAAAUUCAAUUAUUUUUCAUAUUUUGUAGAUGAGAAAACAGAUGCUAAGAGGGCAGUGGCUUGCCCAAGCCUGUGCAGCUUAGGCAUCUGCUGCUGUGCACCUGUUCUUAAACACAUAGUUAUCUGCAUUAGGAAGGGUUUCCAUGGCCAACCUUGUUCUUUGCAAUUCUUGUGCUAGGUAACUGACAUCUCCAGGAACGACCAAUUCCGUAUAGCAAAAACUCCAGCAAGAUGUCUGAGGUAACUUGCUCAGAACUGGCAAGGCCUUUUUUAACUCAUGGUUUUCCUAACAUAUGUAUUCCCAGCACACAUGUUCCUGUCAAUAUACUCUUGAUACAUAUAAUGUAACAGAACCAUUUUUCCUGCCUAACUGACCACCUGCUACCCAAAGGUUGUUUAUAGAGACAUCUACUUCUACCUCUGCGACAUGGUGGUAACAGUACAGACUUUCAAGGUGGUUCUGAGCAUGAAUCCUGGCCACUGACAUAUUACCUUGAGUUUCAGAUGUAAUAGGACCAAGCUCAGCCAGCACUGAGUCACAGGGUAUGAUCAUGCAGUUCAGGCCUGUGAGGCUGCAGGGAAAGCAGGGCAUCCUAGUGCAGAGCUGGCUCACCCUGAGGUGUGACUGCGUAAAAACUAAAAGCCACAUGCCAAUCAUUGUAGGUCAGGCCAUGGAGGGUGCGAAGUCCUCUAAACUGAACCUAUGGAGUCUCAUGGUCCCUUGAAUACUGCUGUGAAAGCAUCCUGCACCACCAGCACCUGGGAAUACUGCCAGGGAAGAGGCCUCUGCGCCCAUGCUCUUCAGCAACAGUUCCAGCGUGGAGCUUUGCCUCCCAUUCCCCCUGCUUCCCACUGGCAUCAUCCCUCUUUUGUCCAUGCCUAUGAAGUGACUUAUUCCAGGACCUCCUCCACUCCCACCACCCUGUGCUGGGGCUGAGUGAGAGAAUCAGAAGUGCUUUAAUGAGAAGAGAUAGAGAUAUGGAUGCAAUACCGGUUCUGAAGAAUUCCAACACUGAGGCAAGAUGGUGCGCUUGUACCUAAGGCUGCUGGAGGAACAGGGAACUGGGACUCUGCCUGCUUCUGUGCCUUGGGUUCAGCUUGCCCAGGGUACAGUCUGCUCAGCCAUCAGUACCCCUCUGUUGUGAGGAGUGUUCCGAGAUAGGCCUGCACCGGACGUUAGCAAGCAUCUGGAUCCCUGGACGGCUAAUAGAAAGAAGUUGGUCUCUUGAAGAAGGUUCAACUUGACUUCUGGACUCCUGGCUAUUUUCAGAAAAUGUUUUCUGGAACUUCAUUCUAGGGAUUAAAGGAAACAAAUGACCUAAGUUCUAAAACCUGCUUAAUUAAUGUGCUCUAUAUCUGGAAAUGAUUCAAAUGUUUGUCAAUCGGUGAUUGGAUAAACAAACAGUGGGAAAUCCAUACAAUAAAAUACUUAAAAAGGAAUGAACUAUUACUAUUAUUAUAUGUAAUAGCAUGAACAAACCUCAAAAUAAUUAUGCUGAGUGAAGAAGUCAGAUGAAAAAGGGGCCAUACUGCAUGAUUCCAUUCAUAUAAAUAUUUAGAAAACACAGCCUAUAAUGACAGAAGACAUGUGAGUGGUUGUCUGAGGUUGGGGGUAUGGGCCAGGGAGAGGUGAGAGGGAAGAUUCAAAAAGGGACAUCAGGGAACCUUUGGGGUGAUUGGUAUGUUCAUUAUUGAUUGUGGCAAUGGUUUCAUGGGUAUAUACAUAUGUAAAACCACCAAAGUGUACAUGUUGAAUAUAUGUAGCCUAUUGCACAUCAGUAAUAUGUCAAUAAACCUGCAAAAAAUAUAAUAUAUACAAAAUACUUAGCAGUGUUCCUGGCAUGCAGUCUGUGCUUGAUAAAUAGCCAUUCUGCCGUUUACACACUUGGCCUUACUCUCACCUACUUUAGUGAGAACAGGAACUGAAGACAUGGAGACCCCGAUCCUAUGAUGUAUCUCAAGUGGACUCUGCCCAAAAGCUGAGGAAAGCUCUGUGUGCAUCAGAACUGAGCCAGUACAGAAGAGAUUCAGAAAUUGGUUUAGGAACACCUUCCAACCAAGUGACACUUCCCAAAACUCAUGUUAUAACAUCAGUAUUAUAGGAGAAAAAAAAAUCUCCUUGAAAUAUAUUUCUGAUAAUGCCUGUAAUUCUGAAAACACCUUUUGGCCUUUUUGCUUACCUGGUCUAGACUGACGAAUUGUUUUGAUUUAGUAUCAAAACAAUUGAUUCUAAACUGUCAUUGCCCAGGUAUAGACAGCUCACCGCUCACCCUAUGGCAAGAGGACUCUUCCUUCUGGAUUUCUGCAACCCUGGGCUCUAGGUUUGGUUGAGUACUGCGAUCAAGCUUCCCUCACAGUCUGAGUUCAUCUCUGCUGAGUUCAACAAACUUUCAUUCCAAGGAUUCAUUCAUUUCACUCUCCUUCAUAAACAUUGAAAAUUUCAGAAUGUCCCUUGGCCAUCCUGUCAUUGCUCAUAUAUGAAUUAGGUGGUUGCUUCUUUGGAGAGUCUGAGAGACUCAAGGAAGCCCACCUUGAUAUGACAAAAUUCCCACUGCACCCCAAAUGAUUAUUUUUUCAAUUAAAUAUUGACUUUAAUAUUUAAAAUAAUUUAUUUCUAGAGAGGAAAAAAGGGAGAAUAAUUAUAUUGGAUCAGAACAUAAAACAUCAACAAGGGGACAUUUUUCUGAAAGAUAAGAUUCACCAACUUUACCAUUUGGGGCCAAUGCCUCCCAUUCCCUCUCAAAGGCCCAGCAUUGGUAACCUUUGCAUUUGUGUCAGCAAAAUCCAGAGAGGGUGCUUUAGCCUGCUCUGAGGAUCAGGCACCUAACACUCUAAACAAAUGUAUUGUCAAUGCCCUGUAUAAAAAGGGAAAUUUCAGCUGCUAUUUUAAAUAGGUGAAAGCCAAUUUGAGACUUCACUAAUUUGAAAUUUUCUGAUUUUCUUGGCCCCUGAGUUCAGUCUCUUGGUUACUGGACAAACUCUUUUUGUUUGACUGGUUUGUUUUGGUUCUUGUUUUGUUAUUUUUCUGAGCCUCUAUCUACCUGCCCUCUAAUCACACAGGAGCUCUAAGGUUUAAUGUAGUUUCAUACAGAAGUAUCACAAAACUGAUCAAGGAAGGAGUAGUUAUAAAAACAGAAACCCGAAACAGUGAGGAGGACUGUGGCUGGGUUCUUGGGGUCAGGCUGGAGAGAUGGGAGUCCGCUAGCUUCUUGGCCUCCAAUGGCAAUGUUGCUUUUUCUUCCAGGCCAGGCGCCUGACUCAGGGACUUCACCUACACCUGCAUGUCACACUUGGAAUCAGUGCCCAUUCAGACUCCAGGAAGUCUUAGGUGAGGAUGAGGGACUGGCCUGUCUUUAGGAGGGGCCAUACCACAUACACCUCUGUUUGGGGCUUCUGGUAAUUCAGAAAGCCAGAGAUGUGGGGGUUUGCACCCACCUCAGAAGUAACACAGGAGAAGGGAAGGGAGUGUAUGCAGAAGUGUCCCCAAAGCCCAUUAGUCAGGUGAUUGAUGGCUGACCCUGGGCAAAAGGGCAAAGUCAGCAAAAUGCAACUUUUAUUCUACAAGUGUUCAUUGAGCAACUAUUGUACACCAAGCACCACAAUAAGCUGUGGAAAAUAUUGGUGAACAGGAAACAAGAACUUACUACUUGGCAAGAGAGAUUUUAACUCAAACAUCAGACUCUAAGCCAGUGGUCUCCCUGCCAUGAGGGUCCCCUUCUCCCUGUGAUCAGACUUCUAAGUACAUUUUUGUUCUUUAACAAUAGAAUCCUGUUUCUUCUAAAUCCUUUAUUCUUUGGCAUCCCUAUUACUUCAGUACUUUAAGAUACUCACUUUCUUCCUUUCCCUCUGUCACAGACUCCCUGACUCCUCCUUCGCCCCUUUCUAACCUCAGUGCCACCAGAUUGCCCUCCUUUUCCUGUUUCCCAGCCCAACCCCAAUAUCAGAGUGGGGCCUGAAGGAGCCCGAGGCACUGCAGCAGAGGAGAGAAAUGACAACAACUCUAAGCUCGCCAGUGUGGAUGCUGGGUUCACCCGGCCAUGGCAAUGAGACAGACACUGCUCACCUGCUCUGGCCACAUGCAGCCUGUGGUUGAUUUGGCCCUCAGUGGCACCACACCUUAUGGCCACCGCACCCAGCCACGUUAUGGGUAUUUCUUAAUCAGCGCUUGCAAAGAUGAUAAACCUAUGCCACACCAGGGAGAUACAGGAGACUGGAUUGGAACAUUUUUGCAUCGUAAAGGUGCUGUUUAGGGUGCACCACUGAAUAAAGAUGCCACCAAAGCAGCUACAGCAGCUGCAGAUUUCAGAGCCAAAGUGUGGGAUGCCGUCUCAGGAGAUGAAUCGAUGACCCUGGUUCUAAACACCUUGUCAAGACUGUGGAUUUCAAGUAGGAUAGUCAUUAUUUGUUAACUGUGGGACAGGACAAACUGUAUGCAUGUAUGACUUGAACAAAUCCGAAGCAGAACCUAAGGAAAUGAGUGGUCACACUCCUCAUAUUAAAAAGGCUCUAUGGUGCAGUGAGGAUAAACAGAUUCUUUCUGCUGAGGACAAAACUUCGACGUUGGGAUCAUGCUACUAUGACAGAAGUGAAAUCUCUAAAUUUUAAUAUGUCUGUUAGUAGCAUGGAAUAUAUUCCUGAGGGAGAGAUUUCAGUUGUAACUUAUGUACAAUCUAUUGUUUUUCAUAGUGCAGUAAGUUUGGACCCACUGAAACCUUUUGAAGCUCCUGCAAACAUCAAUUCUGCAUCUCUUCAUCCUGAGAAAAAAUUUCUUGUUGCAGGUGAUGAAGAUUUUAAACUUUAUAAGUAUGAUCAUAAUAGUGGAGAAGAAUUAGAAUCCUACAAGGAACACUUCAGUCCUAUUCACUGUGUGAGAUUUAGUCCUGAUGGAGAACUCUGUGCCUGUGGUUCUGAAGAUGGAACAUUGAGACUAUGGCAAACGCUGGUAGGAGAACCAUAUGGCCUGGAAAUGUCUGCUUCCUGAAGAAGACAGUGGUGAGCUGCAAAGCCCAAGAUUGGUUUUCCAGAGACAACAGAAGAGGAACUCGAAGAAACUGCUUCAGAGAAUUCAGAUUGCAUCUAUUCUUCAACUCCUGAUGUUAAGGCCUGAGAGUCAAUCACACGCCGCAGUUGGCAUAAAACUGCAGACUAAAACGAGCAAGCAGAGAAAAGCAUCAGCCUUCCAGACUUACUCUCCGCUUAAGGCAGAAAGAGCAGUAAAUAAUGAGGAAAAUGAAUUCGCUCCGGUGCUAGAACAACGAACUUGGUGCUACUGAGAACUCAGGAGUAUCUGAUGAAGGAAGGUGGAGUGGCCCUCCUGUAGCACGGCGGCCUGUCAUCUUUUUAGUGAACAUAUACAAGCCAACAUCCAAUUUCUCUUACUACAGUUAGGGUUCUUGUAGCUGUUUAUGUUAUUAUGGAGAAAAUAUAUUGGCUUAUUUUUCUGACUUUUUUCCUUAAGGCAGAAGGCCUGUUUUUUGUUUUGUUUUGUUUGUUUUUUGCUUUAGUUGUAAAGAAGGGGGAAUACACAGUAAAGUAACUGGUUUAAUUUCUCUUUCAUUGUAUAUUGCUUCUAAUUGUUUUUAGUUGUCUAAAUGAAAUCCCUCUAAAACAAAUAAAAACACUCCAUUUACUGGGGAAAAGAAA